UAUAGAUAGAUAUGUAUUAUAUUGAUUGUUCUAUUCGAAUUUGGUUUUCCAGACCACAUCAGCCUUGAGUAAGAAAUCAGCGGUUGGAUGUUUACAAAAACUUUGUUAAAUGAAUUUGAAAAAAUCAUCACUCAACACUUAUCUCUGUGCGAUUUCCAAAAUAUAAAAUGAAGAAAAACAACGAAAUAUACCAUAAGUGACAACCAUAGAUUAUGAUUAUGGUUUUAUCUGUUUUGUUCACAGCAUAGAAAGUAAACAUAAAGCAACAUGAUAAGUGACAACCAUAUAGAGGAUGCCAGCAUCAUUUACUAAGCACAAAUGAAUAAAGAGGUCCAUCUUCUACACUAAACACCGCAUCAAAGCAAUCACAACCACAAAAUAUUUAUUGUUCACAGCAUCAAAGACCAAACCAACGAAGAAUAUCACGUAUGGUUGUCUUUUUUACCUGAAAUCAUAAAGUAAGAGAGCAAACAGACGUAGAUUCUCGUUUAGUUUUUGGGUUUUCCAACUCCAUAGUUCCAUUUUAAUUCCCAA
rnacentral:lncRNA from 1 species